UUAACAGAGCAACAGGCCAGGGUAGGCUGGCGUGGGGAGCAGCGCUGCUGAGAGUCACUGACUCGCAGCGUUACGGACACGGCUCUGCAGAACGAGGCUUGCACCCAACAGAGCACCAGAGCCCAGGGAGGCCGAGCUCCUCAUCGCCACACAUCAUCGCCACACAUCGGACUUAUAUUCAUUUACGGGACCUAAGAGUAUGACACAUCAUCAUGACAAAGUUGAAGAAGAACUAGCACUGCGG
rnacentral:lncRNA from 1 species